GAUUAUUUGAGGAAGGUGGCUCCAUGGCUCUCACGGGUACGGGAUUAGGGUUCGAUUCUGGAGAAGGAGCUGAGAACGGCUACUACAUCUAAGGAAGGCAGCAGGCGCGUAAAUUACCCAUUCUCUGCCCCCAGGGAGGUGGUGACAAGAUAUAAUAACCCUAUUAACGUAGUGAUUAUAGUGAGGAUAUUCCAAACAGAAUCACAAGAACGAUUAGAGGGCAAGUCUGGUGCCAGCAGCCGCGGUAAUUCCAGCUCUAAUAGCGUAUAUUAAAGUUGCUGCAGUUAAAAAGCUCGUAGUUGGAUUUCAAGGAUUACAUAUUCUUUAUGUUAUUUUGUACCCUACUAGCCUUUCAGGCUGUUACUGUGAGAAAAUUAGAGUGUUUAAAGCAGGCUCAUGCAAGAAUACAUUAGCAUGGAAUACGAAUGAGUCUAGAAUCUUGGUCUCUAGAUCACGAAUUAAUAGAGACAGCGGGGGCAUUAGUAUUUAAUUGUCAGAGUGAAAUUCUUGGACCCGCUCAAUGACUAUCGUAUGCGAAAGCAUUUGCCAGGAUGUUUUCAUUCAUCCACCACCGCACGCAUACGGGAUCAAGACAUCAGAUACUGUCGUAGUCCUUAUCUAAUAACCUAUGCGACUAGGGAUUGAUGGACUUACCAUUCAGUACUUAUGAGAAUCAAAGUCUUUGGUCUGGGGGGGAGUAUGUCCAAGACUGACCUUAAGAAUGACGA
rnacentral:rRNA from 1 species